rnacentral:lncRNA from 1 species
GAGAGGGAGAGAGAGAGGAUGAGAAUCCUCUGAGUCUGCAAUCCCCAGGCAUCCUGCAGCUGCGCUAGAGAGAAAGUCCUCAGGGUGCAAAGAAGAGAAAUGCAAUAAAAUGAUAAUGAGGAGGCCCAGGACCCGCACAAGGGCACUGCUGCAAGCAGUUACUUCAAGGAAACCUCCUGCUGCUUGUCCAGCCCUUGGUGGUGGUGCCCAGCAGCCCGUAGUCUUACCCCAAACCAAUGUGUGCGGAGACAGCCCCGCAAAGCGGAGAGAUCGUGUGCCCAGAGAGAUGCUCCAGGAACGGAAACAGAGAGCAGAGGCCGCGUGGCAGUGCUGGAGAAAAAAACC